UACGGAGGGGGCCAGCGUUGUUCGGAAUCAUUGGGCGUAAAGGGCGCGUAGGCGGCCGACCAAGUCGGAGGUGAAAUCCCUCGGCUCAACUGAGGAACUGCCUCCGAUACUGUUCGGCUUGAGUCCCGGAGAGGGUAGUGGAAUUCCGAGUGUAGCGGUGAAAUGGGCAGAUAUCCGGAGGAACACCGGUGGCGAAGGCGGCUUCCUGGACCGACACUGACGCUGAGGCGCGAAAGCUAGGGGAGCAAACGGG
rnacentral:rRNA from 1 species